GAUGAAGAACGCAGUGAAAUGCGAUAAGUAAUGUGAAUUGCAGAAUUCAGUGAAUCAUCGAAUCUUUGAACGCAUCUUGCGCUCCUUGGUAUUCUGAGGAGCAUGCCUGUUUGAGUGUCAUUAAAUUCUCAACUACACUGACUUUGAAUUGGUGUGGCUUGGAUUUGGGGGGAAAAUUGUUGUGGGCUUUUUGUAUAGUCUGCUCCCCUGAAAUUGAUUAGCGGUACCUUUGUGGAACUGUCUACAGGUGUGAUAAUUAUCUACAUCUUAGACAUCUGCUGGAAUGCUGCUUUCUAAACCUUACUUGUAUUGACAAUCUUGACCUCAAAUCAGGUAGGACUACCCGCUGAACUUAAGCAUAUCAAUAACGGAGGA
rnacentral:misc_RNA from 1 species